AGUGAAUAGAUACCCCGGUAGUCCACGCCGUAAACGAUGCACACUAGACGUUGGAGCCUCUGACGGAGCCGGCGUCGUAGCAAAAGUGCUAAGUGUGCCGCCUGGGGAGUACGGCCGCAAGGCUAAAACUCAAAGGAAUUGACGGGGGCUCACACAAGCGGUGGAGCAUGUGGCUUAAUUCGAAGCAACGCGAAGAACCUUACCCAGGUUUGACAUGCUUGGAUGCUCUCUGGGGAUAACUCAGGGUAGCUGCCCGCAAGGGUGAAACUUGCACAGGUGUUGCAUGGCUGUCGUCAGCUCGUGCUGUGAAGUGUCGGGUUAAGUCCUCUAACGAGCGAAACCCUUGUCGCUAGUUGCCAGCGGGUCAUGCCGGGGACUCUAACGAGACUGCCGGUGUUAAACCGGAGGAAGGUGGGGAUGACGUCAAGUCAUCAUGGCCUUUAUGCCUGGGGAUGCACACGUGCUACAAUGGCGUGAACAGAGCGAAGCGAAGCCGCGAGGUGAAGCAAAUCGCAAAAAGC
rnacentral:rRNA from 1 species